UACGUAGGGGGCAAGCGUUGUCCGGAAUCAUUGGGCGUAAAGCGCGUGUAGGCGGUUAUGUAAGUCUGCUGUGAAAGUCGGAGGCUCAACCUUCGAAAGCCGGUGGAUACUGCGUGACUAGAGUACGGAAGAGGAGAGUGGAAUUCCUGGUGUAGCGGUGAAAUGCGCAGAUAUCAGGAGGAACACCAACGGCGAAGGCAGCUCUCUGGGACGUUACUGACGCUGAGACGCGAAAGCGUGGGGAGCAAACAGG
rnacentral:rRNA from 1 species